rnacentral:rRNA from 1 species
CAGCCUCGGGACGCAGCAGUGGGGAAUAUUGCACAAUGGGGGAAACCCUGAUGCAGCGACGCCGCGUGAGUGAAGAAGUAUUUCGGUAUGUAAAGCUCUAUCAGCAGGGAAGAAAUAAAGUCCUUUGGACUUUGGACGGUACCUGACUAAGAAGCCCCGGCUAACUACGUGCCAGCAGCCGCGGUAAUACGUAGGGGGCAAGCGUUAUCCGGAUUUACUGGGUGUAAAGGGAGCGUAGACGGCAGCGCAAGUCUGGAGUGAAAUCCCAUGGCUUAACCAUGGAACUGCUUUGGAAACUGUGCAGC